rnacentral:rRNA from 1 species
ACCUGCCGUCUACUCUUGACAGCCUUCUGAAGGAAGAUUAAUACAAGAUGGCAUCAUGAGUCCGCAUGUUCACAUGAUUAAAGGUAUUCCGGUAGACGAUGGGGAUGCGUUCCAUUAGAUAGUAGGCGGGGUAACGGCCCACCUAGUCUUCGAUGGAUAGGGGUUCUGAGAGGAAGGUCCCCCACAUUGGAACUGAGACACGGUCCAA